AGGCAACCUGCCCUCAAGUUUGGGACAACUACCGGAAACGGUAGCUAAUACCGAAUAGUUGUUUUCUUCGCCUGAAGGAAACUGGAAAGACGGAGCAAUCUGUCACUUGGGGAUGGGCCUGCGGCGCAUUAGCUAGUUGGUGGGGUAACGGCUCACCAAGGCGACGAUGCGUAGCCGACCUGAGAGGGUGAUCGGCCACACUGGGACUGAGACACGGCCCAGACUCCUACGGGAGGCAGCAGUAGGGAAUCUUCCGCAAUGGGCGAAAGCCUGACGGAGCAAUGCCGCGUGAGUGAUGAAGGUUUUCGGAUCGUAAGGCUCUGUUGCCAGGGAAGAACGCUUGGGAGAGUAACUGCUCUCAAGGUGACGGUACCUGAGAAGAAAGCCCCGGCUAACUACGUGCCAGCAGCCGCGGUAAUACGUAGGGGGCAAGCGUUGUCCGGAAUUAUUGGGCGUAAAGCGCGCGCAGGCGGUCAUUUAAGUCUGGUGUUUAAUCCCGGGGCUCAACCCCGGAUCGCACUGGAAACUGGGUGACUUGAGUGCAGAAGAGGAGAGUGGAAUUCCACGU
rnacentral:rRNA from 1 species